CCUACGGGUGGCAGCAGUAGGGAAUAUUGGGCAAUGGAGGCAACUCUGACCCAGCAACGCCGCGUGAAUGAUGAAGGUCUUCGGAUUGUAAAGUUCUUUUCUAAAGGAAGAAGAAAGUGACGGUACCUUAGGAUUAAGCCUCGGCUAACUACGUGACAGCAGCCGCGGUAAUACGUAGGAGGCAAGCGGUAUCCGGAAGGACUGGGCGGAAAGGCUGCGUAGGUGGGUUGACAAGUUAGUAGCGCAACGACGGAGCUCAACUUCGAAAAUACUACUAAAACCGUUGGACUUGAGUGCAGGAGGGGCAAGUGGAAUUCCUGGUGUAGCGGUGGAAUGCGUAGAUAUAAGGAGGAACACCAGUGGCGAAGGCGGAUUGCUGGACUGUAACUGACACUGAGGCACGAAAGCGUGGGGAGCAAACAGGAUUAGAUACCCCUGUAGUC
rnacentral:rRNA from 1 species